rnacentral:lncRNA from 1 species
CAUUAGGAACCUGAAGUAAUUUUUUUAAACUUGUUUUUCAUGCACCUGUGUUGGCUAGAUCACAGAGCCUGGGCCCAUCCUCUUGAGGAAAUAUUAUCUGCGUCAACCUUCCUCAAUGCCUCCUGGAUGACUUUACCACCAUCUUGCAAAUGUCUAUUAUUUGUUAGCUCUAGAAGACUCAGAGCAAUGAUUGCACCAAUCUGAAGGUUAUUUCUUCCAUGCUGGUCUUCUGCCAUUGGUGAUAUUACAGAUGUUUGUCCAGAACAUUACUGAUGACAGCUACACACCUGGAAAAUAAAGUUUCUUGUUUGUUCCUUCCAAAUUAAUUUUCUGAAUGAACACCAGCAACUCAAAAUGCAUUCAGUUUCAGAAUUCAAAGAACAGAAGAGCAAAUUUGAGGGACACUCUGGCACAGUAGAGGGAAAGUGCUGCAGAGCAGAGAAGCAAUUCUCAACAAGACAAAGCUACUAUAAUAGCGACUUGUGGAGUCACGUUAAGAAGAAAAUAGGCAGAGAAGUGGACUCUUGACGGGAGUCUCAUCCAUCAUUUCCUCUCUGUGCAACCUCAGGCAGGGUACAUAAUCGAUCUAACUUUUAGUUUUCUCUUAUGUAAUCUGGAGAUAAUAACAUAUAUUUUAUAUAAUUAUUGUGAGUAUUAAAUACCAAAACCCCUUUA